UACAGAGGUCCCGAGCGUUGUUCGGAUUCACUGGGCGUAAAGGGUGCGUAGGUGGUGAGGAAAGUCGGAUGUGAAAUCUCCGGGCUUAACCCGGAAAUGGCAUUGGAAACUACCUUGCUAGAGGUUUUGAGGGGGGACUGGAAUUCUCGGUGUAGCAGUGAAAUGCGUAGAUAUCGAGAGGAACACCGGUGGCGAAGGCAGCACUCUGGGACGUGACUGACGCUGAGACGCGAAAGCGUGGGGAGCAAACAGG
rnacentral:rRNA from 1 species